rnacentral:rRNA from 1 species
UACGUAGGGGGCAAGCGUUGUCCGGAUUUAUUGGGCGUAAAGAGCGUGUAGGCGGCCAGGUAGGUCCGUUGUGAAAACUCGAGGCUCAACCUCGAGAUGUCGGCGGAAACCAUCUGGCUAGAGUCCGGAAGAGGAGAGUGGAAUUCCUGGUGUAGCGGUGAAAUGCGCAGAUAUCAGGAAGAACACCCGUGGCGAAGGCGGCUCUCUGGGACGGUACUGACGCUGAGACACGAAAGCGUGGGUAGCAAACAGG